rnacentral:rRNA from 1 species
CCUACGGGAGGCAGCAGUGGGGAAUAUUGCACAAUGGGGGAAACCCUGAUGCAGCGACGCCGCGUGAAGGAUGAAGUACUUCUGUAUGUAAACUUCUAUCAGCAGGGAAGAAAAUGACGGUACCUGACUAAGAAGCCACGUCUAACUACGUGCAAGCAGCCGCGGUAAUACGUAGGGGGCAAGCGUUAUCCGGAUUUACUGGGUGUAAAGGGAGCGUAGACGGUAUGGCAAGUCUGAUGUGAAAGCCCGGGGCUCAACCGCGGGACUGCAAUGGAAACUGCCAAACUUGAGUAUAGGAGAGGUAAGUGGAAUUCGUAGUGUAGCGGUGAAAUGCGUAGAUAUUAGGAGGAACACCAGUGGCGAAGGCAGCUUACUGGACGAUGACUGACGUUGAGGCUCGAAAGCGUGGGGAGCAAACAGGAUUAGAUACCCCUGUAGUC